AUACGUAGGGGGCGAGCGUUGUCCGGAAUGACUGGGCGUAAAGGGCGUGUAGGCGGCGGUGUAAGUCUGGAGUGAAAGUCCCGCAUUCAAUGUGGGAAUUGCUUUGGAUACUGCAGUGCUAGAGUGCGGAAGAGGUAAGUGGAAUUCCCAGUGUAGCGGUGAAAUGCGUAGAGAUUGGGAGGAACACCAGUGGCGAAGGCGACUUACUGGACUGUAACUGACGCUGAGGCGCGAAAGUGUGGGGAGCAAACAGGAUUAGAUACCCUGGUAGUCCACACUGUAAACGAUGAAUGCUAGGUGUAGGGGGUAUCGACCCCUUCUGUGCCGCAGUCAACACAAUAAGCAUUCCGCCUGGGGAGUACGGCCGCAAGGUUGAAACUCAAAUGAAUUGACGGGG
rnacentral:rRNA from 1 species